GUAUGGUCAUCCUACCCUGAAUGCACCUGAUCUUGUCUGAUCUUAGAAUUUAAGCAGGGCCUAAGCCUGGUUAGCACUUGGACAGGAGAGAUCAUAAUCACAUACC
rnacentral:rRNA from 1 species